CGGAUACAUAGACAUAUUAAUUGUCCCAUUCUGUUGAUUAGAAGUCUGACUAACUACUUGAAUGAAUAAAGCGUUCAGGGUCGUCGACAGUUAUUUUUUGAUGAACAUCAAACAUACACGACUAAGAAAGAUUUUCAAAGGCUACACGACUUAUAAGUCGAUAAUGUUUCAACCCAAUGUUUCAAAUAUGACUGAUUACAA